CGGACGGCGCAAAAUAUGUAUCCAGACGUGGCUGUUUCGCUGAAGUUCCACAUAUUAUGCCAUAUUCACUUGGAUGCACAUUUUGGAGAUGUAGCCUCAAGUUGCUAGUUGUUGAAUGGUAAGCUAACGCUAGCUUACAUAGCUUACACACUACUUUAUCUGUAGGCUCAACAAGUUUACCAUCAACUGACCAAAAUCCGAAAUAUUUCCAGACAUCACUCUUUAUAUGUUUGGGGGUUACAAUCACGUUCUCUGCUGCGGUCAAGCUGGAUUCUGCACUUUCUGCAUCUUGCAAGUCAACUGUCAGCAGUGACUCUGUGCCAGACAGUGCGACUCCUGUGACCUGUCCCUGAUCUCAGGCACGCGCCCACCCGCAAAGCAGACAGUGCUGCCUCUUUUUUUUUUUUUUUUUUUUACAUUCGGAUAUUAAUUUUCACAUUCGAAAUUCUAUUUUUAACAACUAUUCGAAUAUAUAUUCGAAUUUAGAAUAUUCAUUGACAGCGCUAUUGUGUACAACCAGAAAAAAAGCUUUACACACCCUACAUUUGGAAAGAGCCUCAGAUUGUUCCUGGCUGAUUCUCUGAUACUUAAAUCGGCUGUGAGCUGUCAUGUUCUGGUCUACCCACAAUGUCUUCUGGGUCAAAGACCAGAUUUUAAAUUAAGUCUGAAGGCAGUCUACAUUGCCACAGUGCCAAUGUGAGAAGGAACUUUCCAAAUCUACUCCUAUUUACAAUAUGCUGAUCUUCAUUGGCCUCUGUAAUUAUGCCAAAUCCCUUAAUGUGCAUCAAAGAAAUGCUUACGUUUGAUGUAUAUUAAGCUCUUAUGCUAUUAUAUUUUUUUUCCAUCAGCUCCUGAUGCCAGUUCUUGGACACCAAAGACUAUUUUCACAAUGUCCAUUGAGUUCCAUUUGUCUUGCUGGUUCAUAGCUAAAGCCCUUAGGUAUAUCCAAACAUGAUAUUUGUUUCUAAGAAACACACACUGUCAUCAGCAGGCAAGACGGACAGGCCACUGUGAGCCUCUAUUUAAUUUACAUCUAGCAAACUUUGAGUGACAUUGAAUGAACACUCUCAAGCUG
ensembl:lncRNA